CUCAGAGGCACCCUCCUCUCCUACCCGCCAAGCGUUCUCCGCUGGCCUGUGAGAUACGGUCCUCCCUCCACCUCCCCUUCUCGGCCUUCGCGAGUGUGGGUGCCUCGGGGCACUGGCGAGACCCUCCAGGAACAUGAAUGCUGAGGCCAAGAAGAAGAAACAGCCAAAUGAGACAACUGGCAACCCAGAUACAGAACAACUUAGCGAGCUAAAUCGAGAAGUGUCUGCUCACCCCUGGUUCUUCAUACUGGGUUCACUGGAAGAAAGGGUGGAAGAGAAGUUUCUCAUGCUUGCUUUAUGAACGUGGCCUUGAAAAUGUCCACAGAACUAUUGUUUUCUUGUUGAGUCUGCAGCCAGGAAGGCAGAAAUCACUGCGGCAAAGCAGGUGUGAACGUCCCCCUACUUGAGGCAGCUCUCUUUGAAGCUGGAAAAUCAAGGACGCUGGUACCUUCAAGGAAACAAGGAUAUAAUUAUCACAACACCCAAUUGGCCAGUGACCUUCCAUUCCUCACGCCUGCCCUCCUCCCUUCGCUGGCACCAGCCCAGGUCCGCACAGACUGAGCUCUCUCUGUGUCCCAGACCGGUGCUCAGACGGAGGAGCAGCCCACUCCUGCACCCUUUGAAAGCUUCUUAAUCUCUUUCUACUGCGCUGCUCUUGCUGACAUAAAUCCGCCAGCCCAGGGGGCCCCUGAGCCCCCCACAGAGGGAGGCCCUCCAGGCCAAGUGGAGUCUGAGCAGCUAAGGCGUAGAAUUUAUGCUUCCUCUCACCUGUGCCAUCUGUCUGUGGCCUCCGCUCCAGUCUUUUUUGAGGUUUGCACAGAACCUCCCAGCUCCUUGCCAAGUCUGCCAUCAUCACCUCCGUCACAGAAGCUGACUUCUCAAGGCCACUGGAAGCUAAUAACAGGGACUCUCAACUUCAUUAUUAUAUUUGAAAUGUUGAAAGCAGAAGCUAAUAAAAUAAGUUCAGAAAAACAAAAA